AGUCACUGACAUUAGAUACCCGCGUAGUCCAGGGUGUAAACGCUGCAGACUUGGUGUUGGAGGCCCGUUUGGGGGCAUUCAGUGCCGGAGAGAAGUUGUUAAGUCUGCUACUUGGGAGUACGUCCGCAAGGAUGAAACUUAAAGGAAUUGGCGGGGGAGCACCGCAACGGGAGGAGCGUGCGGUUUAAUUGGAUUCAACACCGUAAACUCACCAGGGAAGACUGUUACAUGAAGGCCGAGAUGAAGACUCUGCUAGAUUUUCAG
rnacentral:rRNA from 1 species